AUUGAACGCUGGCGGCAGGCCUAACACAUGCAAGUCGAGCGGAUGAAGGGAGCUUGCUCCUGGAUUCAGCGGCGGACGGGUGAGUAAUGCCUAGGAAUCUGCCUGGUAGUGGGGGAUAACGUCCGGAAACGGGCGCUAAUACCGCAUCCGUCCUGAGGGAGAAAGUGGGGGAUCUUCGGACCUCACGCUAUCAGAUGAGCCUAGGUCGGAUUAGCUAGUUGGUGGGGUAAAGGCCUACCAAGGCGACGAUCCGUAACUGGUCUGAGAGGAUGAUCAGUCACACUGGAACUGAGACACGGUCCAGACUCCUACGGGAGGAAGCAGUGGGGAAUAUUGGACGAUGGGCGAAAGCCUGAUCCAGCCAUGCCGCGUGUGUGAAGAAGGUCUUCGGAUUGUAAAGCACUUUAAGUUGGGAGGAAGGGCAGUAAGUUAAUACCUUGCUGUUUUGACGUUACCAACAGAAUAAGCACCGGCUAACUUCGUG
rnacentral:rRNA from 1 species